ensembl:lncRNA
AAUACAUCUUAGCAGAAAUGCAUUUAUCUGGUUGCCUUAUGCUCUUUCAAACCAUUCUUUGAUUUAACUUAACUGCGUUUUUACUGUCAUGUAAACAGUUUUUAGUAAUAAAAAAGCAUCUUCAAUUUGGCUGUUCUAACUCUUCUGGUUCAGCCGUGAUAAAGCAGGGAGAUGAGGUAUAUUUCUGCUUCCUUAUUGCUGGACAAAGUAUUAGAUGGCCAGCCAGACAUAUUUCUAUUAGAAGUGGUGGUGUUAAUUUUAGAAAGCUGGAAAACAGAAUAACAACCUCAAUUGAUGAAAAGCACUAGUGAAAGAAGAGGAGAGCUGCUCUAUGUGAUCAGACAUUGCUCUUUACAUGUUACCAUCUUUUGCAAUUCCUCACCCAGAUCACUAAAGAAAUACAUAAAUAUUUUUUCUAGAAAUAUGUUGAAGUUUAUUAAAAUUUUGAUACAUCUUAAGAUGGCCUCAAUACAAUUGUUACUGAUAAUAAAUAUUUUAACUAAGGUUCAGAAAAUCAGAAUGCGUAGUAUCUUCAAACUGGUAAAUUUUAUUUUCUGCCAUUCUUGUCAGCCUACUCAGCUUUUACCACCAAGUGUCUAUGAUCUAGGUCAGUCAGGACACAGUCAAGGGAUGUCGGAGCUGCUGUGGUCAGCGAGGGGACAAUAAAAAAGGAAGUAAGAGGUUACAAAAAUUCCUGUUAGCAUGGUGAUAACCUUUGGACUAAAACUUAAGAUGACUGAAGAUCUAGAACCUCUCCAGACAAACUACAAUCGAAAAUGAGAGAGUAAAGUAUAGCAUAUCCAUAUUGUGCGGUAAUAUGCAGCCAUUAAAAAUGAAGAUGCUGAAGACCUCACGAUGAUAUGGGAAGUACUUGUGCUAUAAUGUUAUGUUAAAAAGAUCACAACAUACAAUCAAAUAUCAGAUGAUACCUGGAACAGAACAGCUAGUGGAAGGAGACACACAAAGAUGUUAAUAAUGAGUGGUUUCAGGUUACAGGAGAACAGGAGAGUUUUCUUUCUCUGUUAGUAAGUUUUUUCUACAUUUGGAAAUUUCUUUAAUAAGCAUAUAUUUUAUAACUAUAUUUUUAACUAUAAUAAGUAUAUAUUUUAUAACUAAAAUUUCUCAGUGUGGUUUCUAAAAAUGCAACUGGCUGCUCAGACAUAUUAGAAUCGUGGGAAGGGAAAAGAAAUCAGGAAUGAUGUUAGAAGAACAAGUUAGAGUUUGAAUCAGGUGAAGAUUGAAUUGGGUGGAGAACAAUUUAGAGAUAGCUAAGUCCUAGCCUGGAAAACAGGAGUCUCAUUAAUAUGUUCAAGCGCCAUAUUUACUAUGCUGAAAGGGUCAACAUUUAACAGAAGUUAUACUUUUUUGAAAAUUCUGGUCUUACAAUGGCAUGGAAAAAAAGGAAAAGAAAAAUAGAGCAAGGAGAUGGGAAUCAGAAUGCAAGUGUGAGGAAAGGAGUGGGCAUAGUAGUAAAUAAAUUUGUCAGGUAGGCCUCCAUGUGAGAGUGAAAUUUAAGAAAGUCUUUGAGAGAGGUGGGGUUAAUCAAGUGGAUAUAUGACCGAAACAGUUUUAAAUAAAUUGACAUAUUGCUUACUUUUGUGAAAGCUUCUAGAAUUCUAGUACACUAAUGCAAGCAACCACUUGACUUCUUUGGAACAUUUACACAUGUGACCCCGCGACACUCAUAAUAAAAGUUGGUUUCUAUUCUGGGUUGCUGGCUGAAAUUAUUAUUCUAUUAGGAUUUCGUUCUAUAUUAUUGUUAUUAACAUUUUGGGAGUUACCAAGAGAAACUGCUCAAUGAUAGCAGCCUCAUUAAUUCCUCCAGUGAAACACUUAAAAAUUUCAUUGAUCUUGGUUCCAAAUACAUCAAAAUGCUGUAUCACAGUUUUGUUGAACUAUUAACCCUAUUGGCAUUUUCAAGUGAAUAAGCUUAUUCCCAGUUCAAAAGUUCUUGUUCUUGAGCUCCAGGUACAAUAAAGGAACAGCAAAACUGACCUACCUAGAUUAUAUAGGAAAACUUUAUUUAAGCUUCUUACUCAUUUUUUUGUAUUUACUUCUAUUUUCUACAUUAUGAAUAUGCUACUGGUCAUUUAUUUGUCUUUAAAAUAUUAAAAUUUAGGGGCCGGCCCAGUGGCAUAGUGGCUAAGUUCACACGCUCCACUUUGGCAGCCCAGGGUUCACAGGUUUGGAUCCCAGGCACAGACAUAGCACCACUCAUCAAGCCACGCUGUGGCAGCGUCCCAGAUAAAAUAGAGGAAGAGUGGCCAGAUGUUAGCUCAGCAACCAUCUUUCUCAAGCAAAAAGAGGAAGAUUCGCAGUAGAUGUUAGCUCAGGGCUAAUCUUCUUCACUAAAAAGAAAAAUUAAAAUUUAUACACACACAUACAGAGUAAGGAAAUCUCAACAAUAAAAACUUUAAUGAAUGUAAAGUUUACUGUACAAAAGCCUUAGGUCCUAAUUCAUUACUCUAAGACUAGUUAAAUUCACAAGUAAAUAAAUGACUUUCUAAACUGGCUCUCAGGUUUUGCUCUGGGGAUCUUGAAUGAGUUUUAUUCCAAUCCCAGAGAAGACCUACAUAAAUUAUAGUUUCUGACAUGAAAUAUGUAUAUAUUUUCUCCAUGUGAUUGAAAUGAACCACAUUAAUUUGUAAACAAUUACUUAUGUUUAUUAUUGGACCACAUGAUAUGUAAGUCCAUCUGGUUCUGAUUCAAAUACACAGUAACUAUAGUAUAUGCAGUCUUGUAUAACAAAGGCUUCCAUUCGACGUGUCACUAUUGAGGACCAUUAGGAGCAUGUAAUAUUCUAGCUAUUUCCCAG